ACGCACGCUGGCGGCGUGCCUAAUACAUGCAAGUCGAACGCUUCUUUCCUCCCGAGUGCUUGCACUCAAUUGGAAAGAGGAGUGGCGGACGGGUGAGUAACACGUGGGUAACCUACCCAUCAGAGGGGGAUAACACUUGGAAACAGGUGCUAAUACCGCAUAACAGUUUAUGCCGCAUGGCAUAAGAGUGAAAGGCGCUUUCGGGUGUCGCUGAUGGAUGGACCCGCGGUGCAUUAGCUAGUUGGUGAGGUAACGGCUCACCAAGGCCACGAUGCAUAGCCGACCUGAGAGGGUGAUCGGCCACACUGGGACUGAGACACGGCCCAGACUCCUACGGGAGGCAGCAGUAGGGAAUCUUCGGCAAUGGACGAAAGUCUGACCGAGCAACGCCGCGUGAGUGAAGAAGGUUUUCGGAUCGUAAAACUCUGUUGUUAGAGAAGAACAAGGACGUUAGUAACUGAACGUCCCCUGACGGUAUCUAACCAGAAAGACACGGCUAACUACGUG
rnacentral:rRNA from 1 species